GGGAAGCGGACCGGUGACGGCGAGCGAAUCCCAAAAAGAGCGUCCCAGUUCGGAUUGUAGUCUGCAACUCGACUACAUGAAGCCGGAAUCGCUAGUAAUCGCGGAUCAGAAUGCCGCGGUGAAUACGUUCCCGGGUCUUGUACACACCGCCCGUCACACCAUGGGAGCCGGAAAUGCCCGAAGUCAGUGACCCAACCGCGAGGAGGGAGCUGCCGAAGGCAGGUCUGGUAACUGGGGUGAAGUCGUAACAAGGUAGC
rnacentral:rRNA from 1 species